rnacentral:lncRNA from 1 species
GGCCUUAAUGGACCAAAAUCUGAUUUGGGCCCAAUUAAUCCCGCAGCUCUUUUAUGUGGAGUCCUUCUUUUAUUAAUAUCUCUUGAUUCUGAACUCCAAAUAUAGCAAAUAAUAUAUGCAUUUCGAUCAGCUCGACGAGAUCUUUGCAAUGGUGGACUCCAUUCUGUGAUUGGUGGAAACACCUGGGCGGGCGCCCAAGGGGGGUGGGCGGGCGCCCUGCCCCCGGGCCCGUUUGCUUUCUCGUUCGUUCCCGUGGAUUCUGGAGUCUUCUAGAUGAUAGAAAAUUGUGCGGUGCGUUGAUAUCUCUAUGUAAUCCCGACAUGUGGGCCUUUCUUCCAUAUUUCCUGAUAACCCCCUGCAGAAAUAGACAAACACCAAAACUCGUGGAAUUCUGUCAGAUAAAACCCUAAGUCUAGAUGUUGAUUUCAUUUGGAUCCUUUUCUUUGUUUAUUUGAUAAUUAAAUUUGAUACUUAAGGACCGUCAACAAACUCCCCCAAGCUUACCUCUUGCUCGUCCCUGAGCAAGGAUAGACUCAGCAAUGGAUUAGAAGUUGUUGCAAUAUCUUUAAAAAUUGACGGUACACAUGCUUUUUAAAUAAGAUCUCAUCUCUGAGUUAGAGUAAUCUGUCAAGACUUAAAACUUACUUUACCUUCACCAUGGGACUUGUAACCGUCACUUCUGUCUUGAGAGGUUAAAAGAUAGAACAGUCUAGCCAAGUGCCAUGUCUCUUAUUCUUGAUCAGCUAUAGCUCUGGGGUUUUUUUUUGCAGAUUUUCAAAUAAAACUCUGAGAUUCCUUGUAUGACUCUCUCAUAUCUCUCUUUUGUGGUUUUUCUGGAUCCUUACCAAGGCAUUGAUGGUAUAUGCCUUCUCUCAAGAUAUGUGGUAUUUGUGGUAUAAGGCAUAGUGACAUUGCCUUCUCUCUCACCCUACUCUAAUAAGGCUUUAAUAUCUGGAGCUCAUAGGUGGGAGACAGUUAAUACAUACUUACAAGACAUUUAUUGUAUAGUCAAACCAUGGAUCCAAAGAAACAAAUCAAUAAGCCAAAUCAAGAUGUGCAUGUGUGGCGAAUGAAUGGUGUAUGGUGAUGAUGGUGAUAACAAUGGUGAAAGUCUAAUUCUACUUUUGCUCUUUUGAGGGGAUACAUACCUUCCUUGCUUUUGGAAACUUUAUGAGGAGAAUGAGAUGCUAUUCUUUUUCUUUCCUCUCAGGUGGGUAUCUUGUACCCCUAAUUCUACUGUCGGACACUUGUCCAUUUUUACCUCUCGUCUUACUUUUUCUUUCUUUCGAGGUUCCGGGCACUUGCCCCUUUUUAUUUCCUCGUUUAUAUAUUUUUUUUCUCUUUUUUUUUCAGAGCACUCAUCUCUUGAGAUAAUAUAGCAAGUGGUAGUAACCAAAAUAUUUGGAGCAUUUAUUUCACAGGGAAUAACAGGGAUAGGAAAAUGUUUUUGACUAUUCUCUCCCGGAUUAUGAGUAGAAUAUUUUUGGGUGAUUCUGGAGAUAGAAAUGGAUGGAUAUAUGUGGAUGGUACUUCCGGAGUAGAAGUAGCAUAUAUGAGUGAACCUGCAAGUGAAUCUUGAUUUAACCACAUGACAAGCUCCUAAGGGUCUACACAGCUUGACCACACUCAAUGCCCAUAAGCAGUAAAUAGUAAAUGUGUGGCUCAAAGUCUAGCAAGCAUGUAUAUAUGGCUGUGGUAGGAUUUUAAACUCUCAUCAUACAGGAACUCAUCAUGCAAUAUUUUAAAGAUUUUUCAAGAUAAAGUUUUCCAAAAUUCUAGCAUCUCUAGGAACAGAUAAACAACAGCUCAACCUUUCCAUAUCGUAUACGUUAACAACUUAGACUUCAGAUCAAGUUUUCAUCCCACAAGUUUAGGUCUAGAGCAAGAUUUAAAUUAUAACAGUCAUGUCUAAACUUGAGAGAGAACUUCCAAAUUGCAAAUUAGGCAGAGCAACUAUUCAUCAUAUCCAUGCUAGAGUUUUAUUAUUAAGAUUCAGAUUAGCAUAGCCACUUUAUUUAUUUAUUAAACAUACUAAGCAAAAGAUAUAUAUAAGCACAAAAUCUUUAUUUGGUUUUUCAUAGUUUACGUAUUUUAAUAUUCUAACAUAAUAUAAGUAUAAAGAUAGGUAGAAAUACUUAGCGAGAUAAAUGGGGGUGCUCUCCUCCAAGCUGAAUUUUGACGAAAUUUGUCUUGAUGUAGCUAGCAGGUGGCAGAGGUGUAUUUGAAAGUCAGCAGCAUUCUGACAGCGAUUAGAAUGUCCUCCGUCUGCUAGUCUUCUUGAUUCUUAAAUUCUGUGGAGCUCAAAUAGACAACAAAGCUUGUGGAACUAAUUAUGUGUUAGCAUAAAUAUCUAGCCUUCAUCAUGUUGAGCUUCCUUAAUGAAUGUUAUUUAUUUAGCAGGAUCAUACACUUAUUAUUAUUAUAUAUAUAUAUUUUUUAUAUAUUUUUAUUGUAAGAUGAAAACUUAUAUAUUUUAUUUUUAUGCCACCACAGUGAAUGUACUUAUGGGUUUUAUGCCAUGAGCAUACUCACAUGGGGCUUACUAUUUAACAUUUUUAUUUUCUUUUCAAGAUAACAUGAACCUGAUUAACUAAGCAAAUUAUAAUUGAAUAAUUGAAAGGAAAGGGUAACUACCAAGUUUACCUCUUGGCAAGGCGUUCGGUAUUUUUAAGUCCUCCGAACGGGACUCUCUGUUUUCUCAGUCGUCCUAGGAUUCGCUAGGUGGCGUAGUCGGUGAUUCCGGCGGCGCCUUGUUGGGUAUUUUAAACGCAAACAGAAAAAUCCGCAAGCGCACGGAUACCGAUGUAGCCUUCACCCGGGAGUAUUCUAGAGUAUCGAUUUUCCACAGAGAACGUGAGUGUACUAAUUAAUAUCCAAGAUCGCCCAAGGAUAACUAUAUGGUUAUUUUUGGUGGGAAGAGAGGAAGUUUCCUGAGAGUUCUCUAGUUGAUCUAAGAAUCAAGAAUUACUUCAAGAUUAUCUAUAUCGGGACAUCAGAGCACUAACCACAGAAAGAGAUAAGAAGGGGGCUAGGAAGGUCUGACUACGGUCCUACAAACACCGAUCCGAACGUGGAGGAAUACGUCGACCGUUAGGGUUGUCACUACCCUAAGGCUACCACAACAAUCCGCAGGAUUGGGUGCAAUUCCAGGUAAUUGCAAGACUAAACACCACGUCUAAUCUAUUAAUUACUACUCUAGCGUUAUAAAGACUAGAGCACUUGAUGCAAGCGGGAAUCCAAUAAAUAACUUGAAUGUAAAUAAAAGUAAUUAAAGAACUCAGGAGUUAUGAGUUGAAGAACCUGGAGAACGAUGAAGAACGAACCAGAUGCUGCAAAAGUACAAUGUUGAGGAAGAUCCGACACAUCCGGCUCCUCCUCCGCUCUCCUCUUCUCUCUCCCUAUUUUCUAGAUUACAACUAGAACUAACUAGAACUAGAACUAGAGGAACUAGAACUAGAACUAGAUGAACUAGAGGGAUCCAAUCUACUUGGAUGAAGAAUUGAAACCCUAGCUUUGAUUCUGUAGAAGAGGUAUGAUCUCCAGGGGCCAGGGGGGUCUGGUUUUAUAGUCCCCUCAACUGAAUCUGGGCCGUCGGAUCAAACCGACAUUGAUCGUGUGGUUUUCCUUGAAGUAUUAGGUCGGUGGAGCGUUGUCCCCGAAUUGGACUCUGUUUGGUCCAGGGGGGAGGGCGGGCGCCCAGUAAGGGAGGUCGGGCGCCCUGUGCCUGUGCCCUCUCGGCCUCCGCUUCGUUCCCGUGGCUUCUGGAGUCUUCUAGAUGAUAGAAAAUUGCGCGGCACGUUAAUAUCUCUAUGUAAACCCGACGUGUGGGCCUUUCUUCUGUAUUUCCUGAUAACCCCCUGCAGAAAUAGACAAACACCAAAACUUGUGGAAUUCUGUCAGAUAAAACCCUAAGUCUAGGUGUUGGUUGCAUUUGGAUCCUUUUCCAUGAUUAGUUGAUGGUUAAUUGUGAGCAUUAAGGACCGUCAACAAGCUCCCCCAAGCUUAACCUCUGCUCGUCCCUGAGCAAAGAUGAACUCAAGAGUUUCUGCAGUGGUUUCAUAACUUAAAGAUACACAUGCGUUUAAACAAGAUCUCAUCUCUGGUUAGAGUAAACUAUUAAGACUUAAAACUUACAAAUUUUACCUUCCACCAUGGGGCUUGCAAACGUCACUUCUGUCUUGAGUAGUUAAAAGAUAGAACGGUCUAGUCAAGCACCAUGUCUCUUGUUCUUCGAUUAACUAUAGCUCUGGAGUUUUUGCAGAUUUUCAAAUAAAACUCAGAGAUCCCUUGUAUGACUCUCCCUAGUCUCUCUUUUGUGGUAUUUCUGGAUCUUUACCAAGGCAGUAAUGGUGUAUGCCUUCUCUCAAAGUAUGUGGUAUUUUUGGUAUGAGGCAUAGUGACAUUGUCUUCUCUCUCACCCUACUCUAAUAAGGUUUUGAUAUCUGGAGCUCAUAGGUGGGAGACAGCUAAUACAUACUUACAAGACAUUUAUUGCAUAGUCAAACCAUGGAUCCAGAAGAACAAGUCAAUAAGUCAAAUCAAGAUGUGCAUGUGUGUCGAAUGAAUGGUGUAUGAUGGUGAUAAUAAUGGUGAAAGUCUAAUUCUACUUAUGCUCUUUUGAGGGGAUACAUACCUUUCUUGCUCUUUUGAAACUUUUUGAGGAGAAUGAGAUGCUCUGUAUUUUCUUUUUCUCUCUUUUUUUUCUUUUCUCUCAGGUGGGUAUCAUGUACCCCUAAUUCUACUGUUGGACACUUGUCCAUUUUUACCUUUCGUCUCACUUUUUUUCUUUUCUUUCGAGGUUCCGGGCACUUGCCCCUUUUUAUUUCCUCGUAUCUUUUUUUUUCUUUUUUUCUUUUUUUUCUUUUUUAGAGAGCACUCAUCUCAUGAAAUAAUAUAGCAAGUGGUAGUAACAAGAUAACUUGAGCAUUUAUUUCAUAGGAGAAAAAACAGAAAUAUUUUUGGCUAUUCUCUCCCGGAUUAGGAGUAGAAUAUUUUUGGGUGGUUCUGGAGAUGGAAAUGGAUGGAUAAAUGUGGAUGCGUACUUCCGAAGUAGAAGUAGCAUGUGUGAGUGAACGUGUAAGUGAAUCUUGACUUAACCACAUGACAAGCUCCUAAGGGUCUACACAGCUUGACCACACUCAAUGCUCAUAAGUAGUAAAUAGUAAAUGUGUGGCUCAAAGUCUAGCAAGCAUGUAUAUAUGGCUGUGGUAGGAAUUUAAACUCUCAUCAUAUAGGAACUCAUCAUGCAACAUUUUGAAACAUUUUCAAAGAUAAAAUUCUCCAGAAUUCUAGCAUCUUUAGGAACAGAUAAACAACAGCUCAACCUUCCCAUAUCAUAUCCGUUAACGACUUAGAUUUUAGAUCAAGUACUCUUCCCACAAGUUUAGGUUUAGAGCAAAUCUUAAUUAAUAACAGUCAUGCCUAAACUUGAGAGAGAUUUCAAUUUUAAGAACUAGUCAUGGCAGAGCAACUAUUCAUCAUUUCCAUGUGAGAGCUUAUCAUGAGGGUUCAUAGCAAACUUUAUUUAUUUAUUUAUUUAGCAAACUAAGCAAAGAUAUAUAUAAGCACAAAAUCUUUAUUUGGGUUUCUAUGAUUAUGCAUCUUUUUGUUAUUAGAGUAAAGUAUAAACGUGAGUAGAAUACUUAGCUGGAUAAAUGGGGGUGCUCUCCCCCAAGCUGGAUUUUGACGUAGUUUCUUCUAAUGUAGCUAGCAAGUGGUGAAGGUGUAUUUGAAUGUCAGCAGCACCCUGACAGCGAUUAGGAUGUCCUCUGUCUGCUAGUCUUCUUUGAUCCUUGAAUUCUGUGGAGCUCAAAUAGACAACAAAGCUUUGUGGAACUAGUUAAGUGUUAGCAUAAAUAUCUAGCCUUUAUGAUGUUGAGCCUCCUCAAUAAAUGUUACUCUCUUUAGUAGGAUCACAAUCUUAUUUAUAUUUUCAUUUUUAUAGGACAGGAAUAUAUAUUUAUUUUUACGCCACCACAGUGAAUGUACUUAUGGGUUUUAUGCCAUGAGCAUACUCACAUCGGGCUUACUAUUUUUAACAUUUUUAUUUUCUUUUUAAGAUGAUGUGAACCUGAUUAACUACGCAAACUAUUUUAAAAUAAUUGAAAGGAAAAAGAUAACUACCAAGUUUACCUCUUGGCAAGGUGUUCGAUGUUUUUAAGUCCUCCGAACGGGACUCUCCGUUUUCUCAUUCGUCCUGGGAUUCGCUGGAUGGCGUAGUCGGUGGUUCCGGCGGUGCUUCCUCUUUGUGUAUAACUAUCUUCUCGGUGCUACGGUCUCCUCAGGACAGUUCUGUUCAAGUUGUAUGUCUUCAGACCUUACCACUUCUCCUUCAUAGUCCGCCCAUCCGUCCUUGAUGAUUUGUCUCCUCUGGUUGCGGUUGUGUCGUCUUCUUCUUGUCCUGACCUGCUUAGAGUCUUCAACUAUGUAGUUAAGGUCAGUAAAAUAGUGGCACACCUUCUCAGAGGGGAAGUGCAUGUGGACUUCUCCGGUUCCAAUGUAGAUUCUUGUUUUAACGGUGCUGAGGAACGGUCUCCUAAGGAUGAUGGGUGAAUCGUACUCGUCUUCUCCCAUGUCAAUAACCUGAAAAUCUUUCGGACUAUCUGAUCUGCCAUCUGGAGCUGAAUGUAUGUCGGUUUCAGGGGCAUGGUUCUGAAUAGGAGCUGAUAGGUUACUGCGGCCAUUAUAUUGACACCUGACCCGAUGUCACAAAGCAUCUUCUGGAAGUUGUAUCCAUUAAUGGAGCACUAGAUGCUUGGCAUACUUGGGUCGUCCUUCUUGAUCAAGAAAGGCGACUUGAGUUGACGAUCUUGACCUCCUUGAGCUGCAGUGACCAUCUUAGCUGAUUCAGUCCACAUUUGCUUGUUCUUGUUCCUCCUGUUGGUCCUCUUCCCUGGUUCAUGUCAGGAAUGCUCUGAGAUUUGUGUAGUCUUGUUCUUGAAGGAAAACGUCUCAUUCCUCCCCUUGAUGUAGAAACUGAUCUUGGUAGCACUAGCAUGGAUGACAGCUCCUGGGGUGUUCAGGAAUGGCCUCCUUGGGAUGAUGGAUGCCCUCUCAUCAGUACUAGUCUCUAUUACCAGGAAGUCUGCUGGGGCGUACAAGGUACCAACUCGGACGUAGAGGUUCUUCAAUAUUCCCCUUGGGAAACUUAGUGUCUGAUCUGCAAGCUGCAAACACAUGGCUGUUUCUGAUAAAGGAUGUGUAAAUUUUUUUUUUCAUAGAGUACCCUGGGCAUAAUGUUGACGCUGGAGCCAAAGUCGCAGAGUGCUUCCAGGAAGUCCACCAUGCCAAUGGAGAUCGGGAUGACGGUGCGUCCUGGAUCGCCUCUCUUAACCAGCAGAAGGUCAGUAAUUACUUCCACAACGGGGUUACUCCAGUAGUUACAUCCUCAAGCAUCUCAAGGCUGUGUUUUUCUGAGUGUCCAGUCUCUCCAGUGUGUUUGUGCUCGUAGAUCUAAGUUCUUCACUUGGUGGAGUCUGGGAGUUGUGAAACUCCUUCAUAUUUUGCUCGAAGUGUACCUGCUCACAGAGACAAGGCAGAGAUCAAGUGCAUGGGCCCUGUUGGUGGAAAACACCAACAGAACCAAAAGUGUAUUUGUUCUCUUUAGCCUUAAGCAUAGUGAGCAAGACAAAGUUGAUGGAUAAUAAGAUCAUGAGUAUAGCAUUUAAAACAUUUGUCAGAUCAUAUCACUCAACCAUAUGAAAAGAUAAUCUAUCUAAGUAAAUGUUUUUUUUUCUUUACAUGACUAUCAUUUUUCAAAGAUUGAGUAUGCAACAUUUUAGCUCAUAUGAUUAGGAGUGUGGGAUCACAAAGGUGGAAGGACUAAACAUGUCGAAUCGAUUGGGUUAGUUAAUCUAGAGUUGUAAAUCAUACAUGUUUGUCUCUUUUAUUCAUGUGAACGCUAAAACCAAGGAGAAGCUUAGAGAAGUGAUAGUCAAGUACCUUAAGAUGUUACCUUACUUGAAGAGUGAUGGUACAAUAUCUCCUUGUGGAAGCUUUCCUUACUCUAGCGGUUGUGCAUCGUGUUUGUGGCACCCUCCAUGGAUCAUCUCCUGUGAGCUAUGCCUUCCUUGUGUAAAUUGUUAAACUUUAUGUGUCUCUCUCUUUGUCUCCAAUGUGAGUUUAUCUCAGGACUUCCCAGGUCGAUAUUGAAAGUUUUCCUGCAGGGGUUAAUCCAACAAAAUAUCCCAUAUCUACUAUAGCAUACUAUCAGCUCAAAGAUCAACCUAGACACCAUGUCUAAUUUGAUUUAGGAGGGUAUUUUAACCUAAGCAUCAUGCUUAACUUAAACUCCCUUGGAAGUAAGAUCAUCAGCCCUAAACUAAGCACCAUGUGUUGACGGUCCUGAAGUACUAAAAUUAAUAAUCAAAUAAACAUGAAAAAAGAUCAAUAUGAAACAAACAUCUAGAAUUAGGGUUUUAUCUGACAGAAUUCCACGAGCUUUGGUGUUUAUCUAUUUCUGCAGGGGUUUAUCAGAAAAUAGGGAGAGAAGGCCCACAUGUCAUGUUUACAACGAGAUAAUUAUGUGCCGCGCAAUUUUCCUUGAUCUAGAAGGAUCCAGAAGCCACGGGAACGAACGAGACGCGAUUCGGGCUCGGGAGCUGGGCGGCCGCCCUGGCUAGGAAGCCAAUCAGGACUCUGCUUCGGGAUAACUCUCCACCGACCUAAAGGAUCAAUCUAAACCAUACAAUCUAUGUCGGUUUGAUCCAAUGGCUCACGUUCACUUGAGGGGACUAUAAAACCAGACCCCCUGGCCCCUGGAGGAGAAGAGGAGAAAUCAUUAUUCAGAGGUAGCCAUCAAAGUUAGGGUUUAGAUCUCUCUCCCACAGAGAAUUAGAAUUAGCUACUCCCUAAUCUUUCAAGUUUAGAGGUUGAUUAGAUAGCAAUUAGAGAAGUAGAGCACUACGCUCUGGAUUCGGAUCUUCGGUAAUAAAGAUUGGUAUUAUUCAUAUCUUUCUCUAAUUCUUUGUUCUAAUUGCAUUAUGUCUUUAAUUAUUAUGUUCUUAGUUUGCUCUAGUUCUAUAUUUGAUAUAGUUCUAAUUGAUAAUGAGUUUAUGUAUAAGUUUGCAAAGCGCUUAGCUCUUGUCGCGAGGGAGUUAGGUGAUAGAUCACAUGUGAGCGUGGUGCUUAGAUGUUAUUUAUCUGCAAAUGUAUCCUAUUGGCCGAGUCAUGUGGUAGUUCGCGAUAGUGACAGCUUCGUUGAUUCUUAUAUAGUCCACCCUCCGUUGAUAGGACAGACAGAACCAGUAUUGUGGAGUAAGUCAUGCGAUGCUCUGAUUUACUUUAUCAAUGUUCCUUAUACAUGAAUGAAGAGUCUUUUAUGCUAUAUAUGAUCUUGUAGAUAACUAGAGUAGAUUAUGACUUAGUAGUUAGUAGAUAACUUAGAAUCCAUUCUCUAGCUAAUCCGACAUCACCUACAUAUAUGAGGAGUAGUCUAUUUUCUAAUCGCUGUGUUAUCUACCCAUGAACUUAUACUUUAUUAUCAUUAUCUUUAUGGUUUACCCCCUGCUAAAGUAAGUGACUGUGUGACGAGUUUCUCAUUAGUAAUCAUGUUCUUGCAAGUUUAUCUCUAGUCCAUGCCUUGAUAGAUUUUGUCCCUUGAUUUAAUUCCAUCUUCUUUAGAUCCCUAGAGCAAAAUUAUAAAUAACGAUACCUGGAAUACUUAUCCUGGUGAAAUGCUACAAUGAGGUGUUUUAUCUGUGCGCUUGCGGAUAGAAUAGAUUAUUUUUUAAAGAGCCUUUACAUUUAUAAAUACCUUUGUACACUCUGGCGCCAUGCUAGGGAUGACAACCUAGUAUCUAAGUGGUGUUAGCUAGUGUCAACAAGCAUUUCUGGCGCCGUUGCCGGGGAAUUAUAGGAAUUAUAGGAAUUAUAGAACAUUAUAGGAAUUAUAUGAGCCUCAGGAAUAAGUCAUAAAAGGGAACAAAAAGGUAUUAUUAAGGAAAGCUAGAAAAUCAAUCAAGGUUAUUCAUAUAAAAUUUUAGACUAGACUAUAGAGAAAUAAUUGCAUAAAACAGCUACUAAGUGAGAAAUCAUAACAAGGCACCGCUGCUUUGGCAGGUUCACCCUGUUGUUUUUUUAUGUUUAUAUUUUUAUACAGGGUAUAACAGGAUUGACUUUGGGUACAUUCAACUCUUCAUCAUCAGAACCAAAGCAAUCAAGAGAAGAAGAAGCUAGCUACCAAUUGCUGAAGCUAUGGCACAAAAGACCUUGCAAGAAUUCUCUGCUCCAAGUCUUGACAACAUUCCAACCGGUCCAAGAUUUGUAGUAGAAGAAGGAAUGCCCGAGUUUGAGCUCAAGUCAAGCCUCAUCAAUUUGGUGCAAGCUACACAAUUCAGUGGAAAGGCAUAUGAAGAUGCCAGUGCACACUUGCAGAAUUUCUUAGAGAUUGGAAGCACAAUCCACAUCAACGGAGUUGACAAAGACGUCAUACUGCUUCGCCUUUUUCCAUUCUCACUAGAAGGGAAAGCGAGGAAGUGGUUCUAUACUCAUCAAGAUAAUAUCAACAACUGGACGAACUUGUCAGAUGCCUUUCUAUCAAAGUUUUUCCCUAUAGGCAAAACAACUGCCUUAAGAGGAAAUAUUGUCAGUUUCCAACAGCAGAAGACAGAAGCCAUUUCAGAAGCAUGGGAGCGUUUUCAAGGAUACGUAUCAGAUUGUCCUCACCAUGGAAUGGCCACAUGGUUACUUAUGCAGACCUUCUACCAUGGAUUAACCUAGAAGGCUCGUGAGUGCCUAGAUGCAUCUGCUAAAGGAUCAUUCUUGGAGCUUACAACUGGAAAAGCAGAGAUACUUUUGGAUAAGAUAGCAGAAAACCAAAGUUGGUUCCAAGAUAAAGCACAACAAUGUCAUCAAACUGAAGAAAUACCAGAAGAAGUAAAAGCAUUAUCAACUAAGAUGGAAAAUUUGCUCCAUUGGAUUGACCAGAGGGCCAAGUUCAAAGAAGAUCAAAGGGCCAUUGAGACAGCAUACAAAUAUCAACCAACUUCGAGUCAACCCAAUAGCAAAGGUAUGAAUUCAGGUAAUACUUUCAAGCAACUUUCACUAAAAGAGAUAAUUGCUCAACAAACUAAAAUUAAUGAUGAAGUUAAACAAAGGCUAGAUACAAAUGAAUCAUCUCUAAAAAAUAUACACAAUAAAAUGGAUUUUCUACUAACUGCCUUUGAUGAGCAAAACACUCUUAAUAAAAGGGUAGAGUUUAAAUUAAUAAAAUUAGCUGCUGCACUGCCUGUUGCUACUAACCUUGAGCAGGUAAAGAAUAUAACUACUAGAGGAGGUAAAGCUACCAGAGAUCCACCAUACCCAAAAGAGAAACAAAGAACAUCAGCACCAGUGCAACCAGCAGUGAUAGAAGAAGAAAGCCCAGUUGAAGCAGAAGAUCUGCUACAACCACCAAGAACUGGAGAAAUGAGGAAAGAUUUUUACGACACCAACUAUUUGCCAUUUCCCAGAAGAAACAGAGGACUGCAGUCGGAUGAGCAGUUUGGGAUAUUCUUAACAAGAAGAGGCCACUGCCCACCACUGAGGUUAUCAAGCUGACAGAAGAAUGUAGUGCGGCCAUCCUCAACAAACUACCAAAAAAGAAGGAAGACCCCGGAUGUCCCACUAUUGACUGCUCGAUCGGAAACCAACACUUCAACAAUGCACUUUGUGAUCUCAGAGCAAGUGUCAGUGUGAUGCCAGCAUCAGUCUACAAAAAUCUUGAGCAUGCAACCUUAGAACCAACAUCAAUGUGCCUACAACUAGCGGAUCAAUCGGUUCGACACCCGCUGGGCAUCGCCGAGAACAUUCCAGUCAAGAUCAGAGAUUUCCUGGUGCCAGUAGACUUCGUAGUACUGGACAUGAGUCCUGACUCGAAAGUGUCCAUCAUCCUUGGAAGGCCAUUUCUGAGCAGUGCCAAUGCCCACAUUGAUGUCGGAAAAGGAGAAAUCAAGUUCAACAUAAACGGUCAAGAAGAACACUUCACAUUCAAAACUAGACCAGAGAGAGACUCUACAGUGAAGGAAGUUCAUGAAGAACCACUGGAGACAUCAUCUCCGGAGGAAGGAAACUCAGAAGAUUAAAAGAUAUGGAGGUCCAGCUUGGGGGACCUAAAAAUCCCAAACCCUCACCGGGAGGUAAAUCGGUAUUUACCCGCAUUAUUAAUUUUCUCAUAUUAAAUUCUUGCAUAAUUAAUUAGUCAUGGCAUUAUUAUAAUAAUAAAAAAGCCCCAUAUAAAUAAUAUUCGUGGUGUGUAACAACCCAUAUUUAUUAAUUAUUGUGGAGGCACAAAAAUAUUUUCCAUUAUCAUUAAGUUUCAAUUCUCAUAGAUUUUCCUGCAUUAUAUUUAUUUAUAUUGAUCUUCUAGAAGCAUGACCCACACUCUUUGGGUCCCACAUGUCAUACACUUCAUCUGACAUACAUCCCAUCACAUAAUUUCAUCCACCAAUAUGUUUCCACUCACCUGACAUCUUUCCACCGUCCAACCACUACCAACACAACAUUAUUUUGCGUGAGAUCAAAGCAAGGAAGCAAGUGGAGGAGGCACACCCAGGAUGGACACUAGGGGUGGGCGCCCGCCCACCUACCUUGGGCGCCCGCCCUGUCCCCUGCUCAGCCUAUAAAAGGUCACCUCCAGUUUCCCUUCUCUUCACACAAACACUUCAGAAAACCACACAAAUCUCAGUUUCCCGAGGAGGAACUUUUGUAGUAAAGAGAAUAGGGUAGAGAGAAAGAGGAGAGUGGAAGGGAAGGUUGGAGUUCUUUUGAGAGAGUGAUUGUCACCUAGCAAAUAGUGAUCCCGUUGUCCAAGCGGAAGUAAAAGUUGUUUAGGGGGAGGCUCUACCAAAAUAGAAACUUGCCUUGAACGAUUAACCCCUGGACUACUGACACUCCGGACGGUUGACUACUAACAUUUUAUCUCACAUUUUCUACCAGUUGUAUUUUUGCCAACUUUUGUGUGCAGGAUGUUUAAGAAGGUGAAGAAUGCAGGGAAGGCUCUCAAGAACAUUGGUACAAGGAGUUCAACCCGACACUCCUCACAGCCAUCAGAGAUGAGCGUCGAUCCGACACCCACACAAGUUCCAUCAUCUUCAUCAGGUCAGCAAGUCAAGGUCCUUCUCAAGAUAGGAGACCUAGGACUAAAGACCCGAAGAGAGAAGGAAGUUUAUCAGCAACUGAAGAACAAGGAUUUCAUUCACACCCCUACUAUCGAUCCAAUCCUACUACGAGAAACAGGUAUGGAUACUGAAUUUGACUUAAUUUUUCAGAUGAUGGGUUGGACAAAUUUUUGGAAUAUAACUGAGCUGGGUUCUCGUCUUCUCACUCUCGAAUUUCUUUGCACCUUACAAUACUAUGAGGGGGGAAUUGUUUUUCGGAUGUUUAAACAGGCAAUUAUGUUGUCUUGGAGAGAGCUGAGCAACCAUCUUGGUUUCUCUUCAAGAUGCAUCCUGAACAUUGACUCCGAUUUACCCAAUUUUGAGAGACACCAGUUUUGGAGAGAAAUAUCUAGAGAUAAUUUUUACAGUCAAGCCCGAACCAGUGACAUGGAACACCCCACUCUUAGGAUGUUCCACAAAUGGCUUGGGUACAAUCUUUUCUAUCGCGACGAUAUUAGGAAAGCAAGAGUAGGAGAUUUACAACUUUUAUAUGCUGCUAUUAGUAAAGUACCUACUUCACCUGUUACACUAUUAGUUUCACAUUGGCUUAGUAUACCUAGUCUUCAGGGACCAGUAGGAUGUACUUCACUUAUCACUCGUCUAGCCACUAAUCUUCACUUACUAGAAAACUCAUCGUUGGACUUCAUAGAAGAAUUAAGAAUUUAUCAUGGCUAUGACACAUUUAGACAAGCUCGGAUGUUAAAGAAAGAGGGAAAUAUAAUGUACAUGCUGUAUGAUGAUAAAGGCAAGAUUCGGUUACCUAACCCGAACCUUGGCCUCUACUCUGUGCAAAACUUUUUGACUGAGAUUGCAGCAACACCAGUGAACCAGAGAACUCCACAGCGAGUGGCAUCUGAAAGGAUAACCACUCACCGAGAACGCACUUGGUAUGGAGCUGACCCUGGACCAGAAGAAGCAGCGCACCUGCAUUAUUGCGAUUACAAUCCACGAGUCCUUCGAGACCCAUGGGCUCGACAUGCGCAACCACAAGAGCCAACAGAGGAGACAUGGCCGGAGAGCCAAGAUCACCAGUGGACAAACCCGCCUUUUCAUACGGGCAGGUACUCCACUGAUCCAUAUGGAGCUUCAGGAUCCAGACCUCCGCCCCAAUUUGAUACAGGACGAUCCUCCGACGCCUCCUACGCUUUCACGAAUGACUACUAUCAAGAGGCCGGUGCUUUCUUCACUCGUACCGACAACACCCUCCUCGACAGCCAGAACACGCAAGCAGAACAUGGAAGACUCCUGGAAGAACAACAAAAAUGGAACCAGGACCAUGCCGCUGCAGUAGAAGAGCUGAGACAAGAUACAAUAACAAUGAACGACAACAUCACAACCAUGAUGCGGUUCUGGAACAUCGGGUAAGACCCACGUCAACAUCCAGCUUGGGGGAGUUCCUCCCCAAUUUAUCAAGUAAGUUUAUAUUUGCUCUUCUUAUUUAUUAUUUUCUAUUAUAGUAUUUAAUUUACCUUAAAAGAAAAACUUAGAAAACCAAAUAAAUAUUUUCUUGCUUUAAUUCACUGCACUUUAUAAACAUGAAAACAAAAUAAAAAGAGUGUGUAGAUAAGUGUGCUUUAUUUUCCUGCUAAGUUUAAUCUCUAGAAAAAAUAAAAAGACCAAAAAGAUACAUGAUGGAAAUGAUGAACAGUUGCUCUGUUUGCUUACUUACAAGUACCUAGCUUUUAUAUUAGAGUUCUUCCAGGAAUUACUAAAACUAAAAUUACUAUCUUUGGGAAGCAUAAAACUAAAGUCUAGGUAAGAGAAAGGCAUGAUAUAAAGUUGAGCUACUGUUUAUCUUGUUCCUACUACACUAAGUUCUAGAGAUUUAUUUUGAAAACUUACAAAUCACAUGAUGAGUUCCUAGCAUAAGAAACUACCUACCACAGCCAUACUUGCUAUAACAUCUUUUACUAUAUUCACAUUGAGUUUGAUCGAGCUGUGUAGACCCUUAGGAGCUUUUCAUGUGGUUAAAUUAAGAUAUUCACUUGCACACAUCUACCACAGCAUUCAUCACCAAUCAUUAAAAUUGCUAAAAAUAUUAUCACUCACUGUCCCGAAUAUUGUUAUUCUCUCUCUCUAAAAAGAUUCAAUGCAGAAGAGGCAUGGGUUAUGCAAAAAUAUAUACGAGGAAAUAAAAAGGGGCAAGUGCCCGGAACCUCGAAAAAAAAGAAAGAAAAAGAGUAAGACGAGAGGUAAAAAUGGACAAGUGUCCGAAGUAGAAUUAGGGGUACAAAGAUGCCCACUUGAGCGGAAAAAAUGGACAAGUGUCCGACAGUAGAAUUAGGGGUAUCUAUUACCGACCUGAAAAAAAAGAAGAAAAAGAGAUAGCCCAUGUUCUCCCAAGGCAAAGAUCAAAGAAGAGGAGAGAUAGCAAUAUGAGGAGCAAUGAGAACUAAGUUUUAUUAUCACUUAUGCAUUUUCACCAUCACUAUCAUUUACUCCAUCACACAUGCACAUCUUGAUUUAAUUAUAUGCUGAGUUCCUUUGGAUCCAUGGCUCGAUUAGACAACAUAUGUAUGAGCUGUUUUCCACUCCUAUGAGCUCCACUUAAAUAUUCCAUUAGCUAUAGGAAAGUGACAUUAUGGUAAGGAUCCACAAAUACCACAUAUAGAGAGACUUGACUUAACUAUUUUGCUGGGAACUCUGAGUUUUAUUUUGAAAACUUAUGAAAAACUCUAGAACAAAGGUGAAGAAUAAACAGAAGGAAUAGUGCUUGACUUAACUAUUUUGUCUUUCGAUUACUUAAGAUUUAAGUGCAGGUACUAAACUCCAUAACACUUCACUAUAAUCUGGAAGAAUUUUUAUGUAAAAGCAUGUGUGCCUGUCAGGAAAGAAAACAUCGAAGCAACUCCUGAUCCGUCUGAGUUUAGCUGUUUGCUCAGGGACGAGCAAAGGGUAAGCUUGGGGGAGUUUGUUGACGGUCCUUAAGUACUAAAAUUAAUAAACAAAUAAACAUGAAAAAGGAUCAAUAUGAAACAAACAUCUAGAAUUAGGGUUUUAUCUGACAGAAUUCCACGAGCUUUGGUGUUUAUCUAUUUCUGCAGGGGUUUAUCAGAAAAUAGGGAGAGAAGGCCCACAUGUCAUGUUUACAACGAGAUAAUUACGUGCCGCGCAAUUUUCCUUGAUCUAGAAGGAUCCAGAAGCCACAGGAACGAACGGGCCGCGAUUCGGGCUCGGGAGCUGGGCGGCCGCCGACCCCCCUUGGGCGCCCGCCGUGGCCAGGAAGCCAAUCAGGACUCUGCUUCGGGACAACUCUCCACCGACCUAAAGGAUCAAUCUAAACCAGACAAUCUAUGUCGGUUUGAUCCAAUGGCUCACGUUCACUUGAGGGAACUAUAAAACGAGACCCCCUAGCCCCUGGAGGAGAAGAGGAGAAAUCAUUAUUCAGAGGUAGCCAUCAAAGUUAGGGUUUAGAUCUCUCUCCCACAGAGAAUUAGAAUUAGCUACUCCCUAAUCCUUCAAGUUUAGAGGUUGAUUAGAUAGCAAUUAGAGAAGUAGAGCACUACGCUCUGGAUUCGGAUCUUCGGUAAUAAAGAUUGGUAUUAUUCAUAUCUUUCUCUAAUUCUUUGUUCUAAUUGCAUUAUGUCUUUAAUUAUUAUGUUCUUAGUUUGCUCUAGUUCUAUAUUUGAUAUAGUUCUAAUUGAUAAUGAGUUUAUGUAUAAGUUUGCAAAGCGCUUAGCUCUUGUCGCGAGGGAGUUAGGUGAUAGAUCACAUGUGAGCGUGGUGCUUAGAUGUUAUUUAUCUGCAAAUGUAUCCUAUAGGCCGAGUCGUGUGGUAGUUCGCGAUAGUGACAGCUUCGUUGAUUCUUAUAUAGUCCACCCUCCGUUGAUAGGACAGGCAGAACCAGUAUUGUGGAGUAAGUCAUGCGAUGCUCUGAUUUACUUUAUCAAUGUUCCUUAUACAUGAAUGAAGAGUCUUUUAUGCUAUAUAUGAUCUUGUAGAUAACUAGAGUAGAUUAUGACUUAGUAGUUAGUAGAUAACUUAGAAUCCAUUCUCUAGCUAAUCCGACAUCACCUACAUAUAUGAGGAGUAGUCUAUUUUCUAAUCGCUGUGUUAUCUACCCAUGAACUUAUACUUUAUUAUCAUUAUCUUUAUGGUUUACCCCCUGCUAAAGUAAGUGACUGUGUGACGAGUUUCUCAUUAGUAAUCAUGUUCUUGCAAGUUUAACUCUAGUCUAUGCCUUGAUAGAUUUUGUCCCUUGAUUUAAUUCCAUCUUCUUUAGAUCCCUAGAGCAAAAUUAUAAAUAACGAUACCUGGAAUACUUAUCCUGGUGAAAUGCUACAAUGAGGUGUUUUAUCUGUGCGCUUGCGGAUAGAAUAGAUUAUUUUUUAAAGAGCCUUUACAUUUAUAAAUACCUUUGUACACUCUGGCGCCAUGCUAGGGAUGACAACCUAGUAUCUAAGUGGUGUUAGCUAGUGUCAACACCAUGCUUAAUUAAGAGAUAAAUGAAACUACUCCAAACCUAGACAUAUACUAAAGCAAAUAAAGGUAGCAUGAGAGCAUUUAUAGAGAUCUACUCAAGUGGAGAUGAAGUAGUGUGAUUAGUAUUUAACAAAUUGAGCAUGUCUCAAAGGUAGGAACAACCAACAUAGCAACAUGGCAAAGGAUGUUUUAUGUAAAGUACUCCCCCAAGCUUGAAUUUUGCAAAAUUCAAGUUUGGAUGAAUUUAAUUCAAUGUUGUAUGAUGAUUGGUUGGACAUACCUUGUGCUUGUCAUUCAUCCGAUCUUCUUGCUCCAAUCCUGGAAAGGGUAGUAACAAGAAUACCCGAAGGAAUAUUUUUACAAUUAUCCUUAUAUGCUCAACACACAAGGUAAUGUUGCAAAUAAUUAAAAGCUCAUGUUAUGAUCUGAUCAGUGCUUGUUUUAGGACACUAAGCUUGUCCUUGGGAAACCAUCAAUUUAUGUCAGUGGAGUGGUUUCCCCUCCAACGCUGACCUAUAUCAAGAUCAACUCAACGAGAUAUGCAAAAUUUAUUAUAGACAUAUGCAUCGACAACCGCCCUUUUAAAGUUUUUAUAAAUAGAAAGGAAGUGGGGGUUGGAGAUCUCGAAUGUGGCAAUGUUGGAGAGACCAAUGGAUUGUGAAGAUGUUGCAAAUGAGUAUGGAGUAAAUGAAGUGGCUAUGAAAUAAAUUCCAUGCUCAUUAAUGCUUAAAGUGAAAUCCAUGUGGUGUGGUGAAAAUGGCAAGGUGAGUGUGGUAAAAAAAGGGAAAAGAAAAAGGAUACACGGACGACUUGGUUCGAAACUAGCACGGCUACCGUUCCCCGGCAACGGCGCAAGAAAGCUUGUUGGGUAUUUUAAACGCAAACAGAAAAAUCCGCAAGCGCACGGAUACCGAUGUAGCCUUCACCCGGGAGUAUUGAUUUUCCACAGAGAACGUGAGUGUACUAAUUAAGAUCCAAGAUCGCCCAAGGAUAACUAUAUGUUUAUUUUUGGUGGGAAGAGAGGAAGUUUCCUGAGAGUUCUCUAGUUGAUCUAAGAAUCAAGAAUUACUUCAAGAUUAUCUAUAUCGGGACAUCAGAGCACUAACCACAGAAAGAGAUGAGAAGGGGGCUAGGAAGGUCUGAAUACGGUCCUACAAACACCGAUCCGAACGUGGUGGAAUACGUCGACCGUUAGGGCUGUCACUACCCUAAGGCUACCACAACAAUCCGCAGGAUUGGGUGCAAUUCUAGGUAAUUGCAAGACUAAACACCACAUCUAAUCUAUUAAUUACUACUCUAGCGUUAUAAAUACUAGAGCACUUGAUGCAAGCGGGAAUCCAAUAAAUAACUUGAAUGUAAAUAAAAGUAAUUAAAGAACUCAGGAGUUAUGAGUUGAAGAACCUGGAGAACGAUGAAGAACGAACCUGAUGCUGCAAAAGUACAAUGUUGAGGAAGAUCCGACAGAUCCGGCUCCUCCUCCGCUCUCCUCUUCUCUCUCCCUAUUUUCUAGAUUACAACUAGAACUAACUAGAACUAGAACUAAAGGAACUAGAACUAGAACUAGAUGAACUAGAGGGAUCCUCUCUACUUGGAUGAAGAAUUGAAACCCUAGCUUUGAUUCUGUAGAAGAGGUAUGAUCUCCAGGGGCCAGGGGGUCUGGUUUUAUAGUCCCUUCAAGUGAAUCUGGGCCGUCGGAUCAAACCGACAUUGAUCGUGUGGUUUUCCUUGAAGUAUUAGGUCGGUGGAGCGUUGUCCCCGAAUUGGACUCUGUUUGGUCCAGGGGGGAGGGCGGGCGCCCAGUAAGGGAGGGCGGGCGCCCUGUGCCUGAGCCCUCUCGGCCUCCGCUUCGUUCCCGUGGCUUCUGGAGUCUUCUAGAUGAUAGAAAAUUGUGCGGCACGUUAAUAUCUCUAUGUAAACCCGACGUGUGGGCCUUUCUUUCGUAUUUCCUGAUAACCCCCUGUAGAAAUAGACAAACACCAAAACUUGUGGAAUUCUGUCAGAUAAAACCCUAAGUCUAGGUGUUGGUUGCAUUUGGAUCCUUUUCCAUGAUUAGUUGAUGGUUAAUUGUGAGCAUUAAGGACCGUCAACACGCCUCUCUUCGUGUAUAACUAUCUUCUCCCUCCACACCUGACUCGGUGCUACGGUCUCCUCAGGACAGUUCUGUUCAAGCUGUAUGUCUUCAGUCCUUAUCACUUCUCCUUCGUAGUCUACCUAUCCAUUCUUGAUGAUUUGCCUCCUCUGGUUGCGGUUGCGUCUUCUUCUUGUCCUGACCUGCUUAGAGUCUUUAACUAUAUAGUUAUGGUCAGUAAAAUAGUUGCGUACCUUCUUAGAGGAGAAGUACAUGUGGACUUCUCUGGUUCCAAUGUAGAUGAUUGCUUUGAUAGUGUUGAGGAACGGUCUUCCAAGGAUGGUGGGUGGAUCAUAUUCGUCUUCUCCCAUGUCAAUGACCUGAAAAUCAUCUGGAGCUGAAUAUAUUGGUUGUAGGGGCAUGGUUCCAUGCAGGAGCUGAUAAGUGACUGCGGCCAUUAUGUUGUCGUCAGAUCCGGUGUCGUAGAGUGUCUUCUGAAAAGAGUAUCUAUUGAUUGCGCACUCGAUGCUUGGAACACCAGGGUCGUCCUUCUUGAUCAAGAAAGGUGACUUGAGUCGACGAUGUUGACCUCUUCCGACAAGGAUCCAAUGUUUUAAGUCUUCUGGACAAGACUUUCCACCAUCUUCAUCCUUUAGGUGCAUCAUUUAAAUAGGUGUGGACCUUGACGUCUGCAGCUCUUGAUACGGUGUUACCCAUGUUCUUCUUUGCCCAGCAGUUCGAAGUAUGGUGUUGGCAAUAUCCUGCUCAGUGUGUUUGUGCUCAUAGAUCCAGGUCCUUCACUUGGUGGAGUCUGGGAGUUGUAAAACUCCUCCAUGUUUUGCUUGAAGUGUACCUGUUCAUAGAGACAAGGCAGAGAUCAAGUGCAUGGGCUCUGUUGGUGGAAAACACCAACAGAACCAAAAGUGUAUUUGUUUUUCUCUAACCUUAAGCAUAGUGAGCAAGACAAAGUUGAUGGAUAAUAAGAUCAUGAGUGUAGUAUUUGAAACAUUUGUCAGAUCAGAUGGGUCAACCUAAUGGAAAGAUAAUCUAUCCAUAUUUAUGUUUUGUUUAUAUCUUCCAAAUAUUGAAUGUGAAACAUAUUAGCUUAUAUGUUUAGGAGGGUGGGAUCACGAAGGUAGUACUAAGAACAAAGAUUAAAGGACUAAACAUGUUGAAUUAAUUGAGUUGGUUAAUCUGGAGUUAUAAAUCAUACAUGUUUGUCUCUUUAUUUAUGUGAAUGCUAGAACCAAGGAGAAACUUAUAAAAGCGAUAGUCAAGUACCUUAAGGUGUUACCUCACUUGAAGAGUGACCGUACAGUAUCACCUUGUGGAAGCUUUCCUUUCUUAGCGGUUGUGCAUCGUGUUUGUGGCACCCUCCAUGAAUCAUCUCUUAUGAGCCACGUCUUUCUUGUGCAAAUUGUUAAACUUCAUGUGUCACUUUGUUCAUCUCCAAUGCGAGUUUAUCUCAGGACUUCCCAGAUUGAUAUUGAAAGUUUUCCUGCAGGGGUUAGUCCAACAAAAUAUCCCCUAUCUACUAUAGCAUACUAUCGGCUUAAAAAUCAACCUAGACACCAUGUCUAAUUUGAUUUAGAAGGGCAUUUUAACCUAAGCACCAUGCUUAAUUUAAAAUCCCUUGGAAGUAAGAUCAUCAUUCCUAAACUAAGCACCAUGCUUAAUUAAGAGAUAAAUGAAACUAUUCCAAACCUAGACAUAUACUAAAGCAAAUAAAGGUAGCAUGAGAGCAUUUAUAGAGAUCUACUUAAGUGGAGUGUAAUUAGUAUUUAACAAAUUGAGCAUGUCUCAAAGGUAAGGACAACCAACGUAGCAACAUGGCAAAAGAUGUUUUUAUGUAAAGUACUCCCCCAAGCUUGAAUUCAAGUUUGGAUGAAUUUAAUUCAAUGUUGUGUGAUGGUUGGUUGGACAUACCCUGUGCUUGUCAUUCAUCCGAUCUUCUUGCUCCAAUCCUGGAAAGGUUAGUGACAAGAAUACCCGAAGGAAUAUUUCUACAAUUAUCUUUAUAUGCUCAAAACACAAGGCAAUGUUGCAAAUAAUUAGAAGUUCAUGUUAUGAUCUGAUAAGUGUUUGUUUUAGGACACUAAGCUUGUCCUUGGGGAACCAUCAAGUUAUGUUGGUGAAGUGGUUUCCCCUCCAACACCUACCUAUAUCAAGAUCAACUCAACGAGAUCUGCAAUAUUUAUUAUAGACAUAUGCAUCGACAACCGCCCUUUUAAAGUUUUUAUAAAUGAAGAGGAAGCGGGGGUUGGAGAUCUCAAAUGUGGUAAGGAUGGAGAGACAAAUUGAUUGGAGAGAUGUUUUAUAUGAGCAAGGACUGGGUAAGGUAUUUAUGAAAUAGCUUCCAUGCUCACUGUUGUUUCUCUCAUUCUUAAACUCCAAGGAUGAUUCUUCAUGAAUGCUUAAAAUUCCUCUAGGAUUGUCUCUCAAGUUUGUUUUAUCUAUAAAUUCAAUGGUGAUAGCACAUGGAUUUUUAAUGCCCUCUAGCCAUUGAUGUUGCUCUUCUCGAUCCUCCUUCUUAUGCAUGGGAUGUCUAGAGAGAUUCAUAGGAUUAUUGGGAGGUUCAACAGAAAAAGCAUAGUAGAAAUUAUUAAGCUCAAGGAUGGGUUGGAUAGCCGAAUUAUGAGAUUGAAAUGUUUGGAAAUCGGCUAUUGAAACUUCCUCUCCUUGUAUGGGAGAUGAUUCCUUCUCUAUCUCUAAGAUUUUUCUAUGAAGACUAGUGCAAGAAGGAUGUCUACGAAUGAAGACAUACCUUCCUUUACUAAUAGAUAAAGAAAGAAAGACUCUACCAAAGGUUAUAUGAUUAAGACCAAUGUGAAAAUAUCUAGGAAAAACAUGGUCUUGUAGGGCUAGGUCUAAACCAGAAUUUAUAGAAAAAUUAAAAGAUUCCCUAGGUGUAGCUAAAAGUGCAUUAUAUUUUUGAUUAAAAGAUAGGACCUCAGCUAUAGAAAAGGGUUGGUUUUGACCUAUUGCAAUCAACUCCGGACACAGAUCAUAAUUAGGGGCAGGACGUGUUGACUCCCAUGGUCUAUGGCUGGUCUCCAAAGGUGCAAAGAAUUUAAUAAUAGGUAUGGAAUUUGAGUUAUCCAUAAAGAUAAAAAUAAAAAGAUAAAAGAAUAAAAGUAUAAAAGUAUAAUACAAGAUAAUAGCAAGACUCAAAGUUAUCUCAGCAAACCGUCUUUCUCCCCGGCAACGGCGCGAGAAAUGCUUGUUGAUAUUUGGUAACGCAAUAAGGAAAUGAUCCGCAAGCGCACGGAUAUCGGUGAGCAUUUCACCCGGGAGGUUAUCCAGAGUAUCGUAUUUAUAUUUUUACCACUGGGAGAAAGGGUGCAUCUGACUAACCAAAUCUAUUGCUACUAUCCCUUUAGGCACAAAGAAUGUCUUUCGAUGUGAGUGAUAAAUAGAGAAGACUGCAACCGUAGUCUCCUUCUAACCUUGGUAAGGAUGAUCUACUGUUCUAAUGGGGAGGCUAACGGAAUCUAGACACCACAAAGGAUGUUCAACCCGCACCUAUAAACCCUAUCCUUCCUGCUAACGAGAUGUGAUCUACAAAGGUAGCUCGGAAUUGUCACGUUCCUCACUACUACCACGGUCCAGCUAGUCAGGGAAUAUCUAUGAGUACCCCAGCCUAAACACCACGUUUACGCCAGCAAUGAUUACUCUAAACUUUACGCGAAGAGAUUAAAGUAAACUCAUAAACCAUAAGAACAAUAAAACUAGAACUUACUAGAAUUUAGAAGUCGAAUGACUGAAGAAUCCUAGGAGCAAGCUUCGGGUUAGGAGAACUUGAUCCCGCAGGUACAAGCAUGGAGUAGACACCGACAGGCCGGGCUUCCUCCAAUCUACACCUCCACUCUAUCUCUCUCAAUCUAGUAGAAACUAGAAGAUCUAUUUCUACUUUACAUUGGUUGCUAAGCCUAAAAAGAAAUAUUAAUUAGAGAAGAGGUUUUCCUUCGAGGGCACCCCUCAAUCUCUAUGAUAAUUUCUUGUUCUCCUCCAGGGGCCAGGGGCCUUGCUUAUAUAGUCCUCCUCCUCUAUGCUUUUUGGUUCAGCAGGCGAUGUGGUACUAAACUUUGCACCCUAUCUCAUUAAAAUGCACAUAGGCCUUAAUGGACCAAAAUCUGAUUUGGGCCCAAUUAAUCCCGCAGCUCUUUUAUGUGGAGUCGUUCUUUUAUUAAUAUCUCUUGAUUCCGAACUCCAAAUAUAGCAAAUAAUAUAUGCAUUUCGAUCAGCUCGACGAGAUCUUUGCAAUGGUGGACUCCAUUCUAUGAUUGGUGGAAACACCUGGGCGGGCGCCCAAGGGGGGUGGGCGGGCGCCCUGCCCCCGAGCCCGUUUGCCUUCUCGUUCGUUCCCGUGGCUUCUGGAGUCUUCUAGAUGAUAGAAAAUUGCGCGGUGCGUUGAUAUCUCUAUGUAAUCCCGACAUGUGGGCCUUUCUUCCGUAUUAUCAUAUAGCAUAUACAUUAUAUUCCCCUCUUUCUUUAACAUCUGAGCUUGUCUAAAUGUGUCAUAGCCAUGAUAAAUUCUUAACUCAUCUAUGAAUUCCAAUGAUGAAUUUUCUAGUAAAUGAAGAUUAGAGGCUAGACGAGUGAUAAGUGAAGUACAUCCUACUGGUCCCUGAAGACUAGGUAUACUAAGCCAAUGAGAAACUAAAAGUGUAACAGGUGAAGUGGGUACUUUAUUAAUAGCAGCAUAUAGAAGUUGUAAAUCUCCUACUCUUACUUUCCUAAUAUCAUCACGAUAGAAAAGAUUGUACCCAAGCCAUUUGUGGAACAUCCUAAGAGUGGGGUGUUCCAUGUCACUGGUUCAGGCUUGACUAUAAAAUUUAUCUCUAGAUAUCUCUCUCCAGAACUGGUGUCUCUCAAAAUCAGGUAGGUCGGAGUCAAUAUUCAAGAUGCAUCUAGAAGAGAAACCGAGAUGGUCACUCAAUUCUCUCCAAGACCACAUAAUUUCUUGUUUAAACAUCUGAAAAACAAUUCCCCCCUCAUAAUAUUGUAAAGUGCAAAGAAAUUCGAGGGUGAGAAGACGAGAACCCAGCUCAGUUAUGUUCCAAAAAUCUGUCCAACCUAACAUCUAGAAAAUUAAGUCGAAUUCAGUAUCCAUACCUGUUUCUUGUAGCAAGAUUGGAUCGAGAGUAGGGGUGUGAAUGAAAUCUUUGUUCUUUAGUUACUGGUAAACUUCCUUUUCCCUGCAGGUCUUCAGUUCAAGGUCUCCUAUCUUGAGAAGGACCUUGACUUGCUGAUCAGAUGAAGAUGACGGAGCUUGUGUGGGCGUUGGGUCGACGCUCAUCUCUGAUAGGUGUGAUGAGUGUCGGGAUGAACUCCUUGUACCUAUGUUCUUGAGGGCCAUCCCUGCGUUCUUCACCUUCUUAAACAUCCCGAAGACAAAAGUUGACAAAAACACAACUAGUGGAAAAUGUGAGAGAAAAGGUUAGUGGUCAGCUGUCCGGAAUGUCAGUAGUCCAGGGGUUAGUCAUUCAAGACAAGUUUUUAUUUUAGCAGCACCUCCCCCUAGACAACUUUUACUUCUGCUUGGACAGCGGGAUCACUACUUACUAGGUGAAGCUCACUCUUUCACUCAAAAACUACCAACUUCUUUCCCACUCUUCUCUUCAUCUCUACUCUCUCUUUACUUCACUACAAGAGCUCCUUCUCUGGAAACUGAAACUUGUGUGGUUUUCUGGAAUGCUUGUAUAGGUGGGCGGGCACCCACUUGUGGUGCUCAUCCUGGCUGCCCCUUUCUCCACUCCCUCCUUUGCUUAAUCUUUAAGCCAAAAAAUAAUUCAAUGGUGGUGGUUGGUCGGUGGAAAAGUGUUGGUGAUUGGAGUUAUGUUGGUGGAUCAAAUAAUGUGAUGGAAUGUAUGUGAGGUGUGGUGUAUGACAUGUGGGACCCAAGGAGUGUGGGUCACACUUCUAGAAGGUUGCUAUAAUUAAAUAUAAUGCAGGAAAAUCUAUGAGAAAUGAAAACUUAUUGAAAUGAUAAUGGAAAAAUAUUUUUGUGCCUCCAUAAUAAUUAAUAAAUAUGGGUUGUAACACACCACAAAUAUUAUUUAUAUGGGGCUUUUCAUUAUUAUAACAAUGCUAUGAAUAAAUAUGACUAAUGCAAGAAUUAAAUAUGAGAGAAUUAAUGAUGCGGAUAAAUACCGAUUUACCUCCCGACGAGGGUUUGGGAUUUUUAGGUCCCCCAAGUUGGACCUCCAAAUCUUUUAAUCUUCUGAAUUACCUUCCUCUGGAGAUGGUGUCUCUAGUGGUUCUUCUUCAUGGACUUCCUUCACUGUAGAGUCUCUCUCUGGUCUGGGCUUGAAUGUGAAGUCCUCUUCUUUUCCGUUUAUGUUGAACUUGAUUUCUCCCUUUCCGACAUCAAUGUGUGCAUUGGCAGUGCUCAGAAAUGGCCUUCUAAGGAUGAUGAACACUUUUGAGUCAGGACUCAUGUCCAGUACCACGAAGUCUACUAGCACAAGGAAAUCUCUUAUCUAGACUGGAAUGUUUUCAGCGAUGCCCAACAGGUGUCGAACUGAUUGAUCUGCUAGUUGUAGGCACAUUGAUGUUGGUUCUAUGGUCGUAUGCUCAAGUUUUUUGUAGACUGAUGCUGGCAUCACACUGACACUUGCUCCGAGAUCACAAAGUGCAUUGUUGAAGUGUUGGUUUCCGAUCGAGCAAUCAAUAGUGGGACAUCCUGGAUCUUCCUUCUUCUUUGGUGGUUUAUUGAGGAUGGCCGCACUACAUUCUUCUAUCAGCUUGAUAACCUCAGUGGUGGGUAGUGGUCUCUUCUUGUUAAGAAUAUCUCUGAUGUACUUUGCAUAUGUAGGUACCUGUAUGGCAUCAAGUAAAGGUAUGUUGACAUAUAAUUUCUGAAUGACCUCUACAAACUUACCAAACUGCUCAACCGACUGCGGUCCUCUGUUUCUUCUAGGAAAUGGCAAAUAGCUGGUGUCAUAAAAAUCUUUCCUCAUUUCUCCAGUUCUUGGUGGUUGUAGCAGAUCUUCUGCUUCAACUGGGCUUUCUUCUUUUAUCACUGCUGGUUGCACUGGUGCUGAUUUUCUUUGUUUCUCUUUUGGGUAUGGGGGAUCCCUGGUAGCUUUACCUCCUCUAGUAGUUAUAUUCUUUACCUGCUCAAUGUUAGUAGCAACAGGCAGUGCAGCAGCUAACUUUAUUAAUUUAAGCUCUACCCUCUUAUUAAGAGUGUUUUGCUCAUCAAAGGCAGUUAGUAGAAAAUCCAUUUUAUUGUGUAUAUCUUUUAGAGAUGAUUCAUUUGUAUCUAGCCUUUGUUUAACUUCAUCAUUAGUUUUUAUUUGUUGAGCAAUUAUCUCUUUUAAUGAAAGUUGCUUGAAAGUAUUACCUGAAUUCAUACCUUUGCUAUUGGGUUGACUCGAGGUAGGCUGAUAUUUGUAUGUUGUCUCAAUGACCCUUUGAUCUUCUUUGAACUUGGCCCUCUGGUCAAUCCAAUGGAGCAAAUUUUCCAUCUUGGUUGAUAACGUAUUUACUUCUUCUGGUAUUUCUUCAGUUUGAUGACAUUGUUGAGCUUUAUCUUGGAACUAGCUUUGGUUUCCUGCUAUCUUAUCCAAAAGUAUCUUUGCUUUUCCAAUUGUAAGCCCCAAGAAUGAUCCUUUAGCAGAUGCAUCUAGGCACUCACGAGCCUUCUGGGUUAAUCCAUGGUAGAAAGUCUGCAUAAGUAACCAUGUGGCCAUUCCAUGGUGAGGACAAUCUGAUAUAUAUCCUUGAAAACGCUCCCAUGCUUCUUGAAUGGUUUCUGUCUUCUGCUAUUGGAAACUGACAAUAUUUUCUCUUAAGGCAGUUGUUUUGCCUAUAGGGAAAAACUUUGAUAGAAAGGCAUCUGACAAGUUCGUCCAGUUGUUGAUGUUAUCUUGAUGAGUGUAGAACCACUUCCUCGCUUUUCCUUCUAGUGAGAAUGGAAAAAGGCGAAGUAGUAUGACGUCUUUGUCGACUCCGUCGAUGUGGAUUGUGCUUCCAAUCUCUAAGAAAAUUUGUAAGUGUGCACUAGCAUUUUCAUGUGCCUUUCCACUGAAUUGUGUAGCUUGUACCAAAUUGAUGAGGCUUGACUUGAGCUCAAACUCGGGUACUCCUUCUACUGCAAAUCUUGGACCAGUUGGAAUGUCCUCAAGACUUGGAGCAGAGAAUUCUUGUAGGGUCUUCUGUGCCAUAGCUUCAGCAAUUGGUAUCUAGCUUCUUCUUUCUUUUUCUUGAUUGCUUUGGUUCUGAUGAUGAAGAGUUGAAUGUACCAAAGUCAAUCCUGAUAUACCCUGUAUAAAAAUAUAAACAUAGAAAAACAACAGGGUGAACCAGCCAAAGCAGAGGUGCCUUGUUAUGAUUUCUCACUUAGUAGCUGUUUUAUGCAAAUAUUUCUCUGUAGUCUAGUAUAAUAUUUUAUGUGAAUAACCUUGACUGACUUCCAGACUUUUCUUACCAUUCCUAUGUGUUACCAUUUUGAUCCCCGGCAAUGGCGCCAGAAAUGCUUGUUGACACUAGCUAACACCACUUAGAUACUAGGUUGUCAUCCCCAGCAUGGUGCCAGAGUGUACAAAGGUAUUUAUAAAUGUAAAGGCUCUUUAAAAAAUAAUCUAUUCUAUCCGCAAGCGCACAGAUAAAACACCUCAUUGUAGCAUUUCACCAGGAUAAGUAUUCCAGGUAUCGUUAUUUAUAAUUUUGCUUACGAGGACAAAAGGGUUAAAUUAAGAUGAGGAUAAAUCUAUCAAGGCAUAGACUAGAGAUAAACUUGCAAGAACAUGAUUACUAAAGAGAAACUCGUCACACAGCCACUUACUUUGGCAGGGGGUAAACCAUAAAGAUAAUGAUAAUGAAUUAUAAGUUCAUGGGUAAAUAACACAGCGAUUAGAAAAUAUACUACUCCUCAUAUAUGUAGGGUGACGUCAGAUUAGCUAGAGAAUGGAUUCUAAGUUAUCAACUAUCUAAUAAGUCAUAAUCUACUCUAGUUAUCUACAAGAUCAUAUAUAGCAUAAAAGACUCUUCAUUCAUGUAUAAGGAACAUUGUUAAAGUAAAUCAGAGUAUCGCGACUUACUCCACAAUACAAGUUCUGCCUGUCCUAUCAACGGAGGGUGGACUAUAUAAGAAUCAAUGAAGCUGUCACUAUCGCGAACUACCACACGACCCGGCCAAUAGGAUACAUUUGCAGGUAAAUUACAUCUAAGCACCACGCCAACAUGUGAUCUACCACUUAACUCCCUCGCGUCAAGAGCUAAGCGCUUUGCAAACUUAUACAUAAACUCAUUAUCAAUCAUAACUAUAUCAAAUAUAGAACUAGAGCAAACUAAGAACAUAAUAAAUAGAGACAUAAUGCAAUUAGAACAAAGAAUUAGAGAAAGAUAUGAAAUAAUAUCAAUCUUAUUACCGAAGAUCCGAAUCCAAAGCGUAGUGCUCUACUUCUCUAAUUGCUAUCUAAUCAACCCUCUAAACUUGAAGAAUUAGGGAGUAGCUAAUUCUAAUUCUUUGUGGCAGAGAAGCUCUAAACCCUAACUUUGAUGGCUACCUCUGAUAAUGAUUUCUUCUCUUCUCCUCUCUCCCCCAGGGGUGGAGAGGCCUUGGUUAUAUAGACCUUUCAAGUGAAUUUGGGCCGUCGGAUCAAACCGACCUUGAUUGCAUGGUUUAGAUCAUCCUCAAAGGCGGUGGAUCAUGAUCCAAGAAAAGAGUUCUGAUUGGAGUCCAACCCUGGGCGGGCGCCCAAGGGGGGUGGGCGGGCGCCCUGCCCCCGAGCCCGAUCGUCUUCUCGUUCGUUCCCGUGGCUUCUGGACUCUUCUAGAUUGAGGAAAAUUGCACGACACGUCAUUAUCUCGUUGUAAACAUAUGUGGGCCUUCUCGCCCUAUUUUCUGAUAACCCCCUGUAGAAAUAGAUAAACACCAAAGCUCAUGGAAUUCUGUCAGAUAAAACCCUAAUUCUAGAUGUUUGUUUCAUUUGGAUCCUUUUCCAUGUUUAUCUAAUGGUUAAUAUUAGUACUUAAGGACCGUCAACACUGAGGAGUACAAUGACAACCUGCAUGAGGAGGUACAAGACAAAGGACCAAUAUGCAAACAACACCUAGAAUUAGGGUUUGAUCUGACAGAAUUCCACGAGUUUUGUUGUCUAUCUGUUUCUACAGGGGGUUAUCAGGAAAUAAGGAAGAAAGGCCCACAUGUCGGGAUUACAUAGAGAUAUCAACGCACCGCGUAAUUUUCUACCAUCUAGAAGACUCCAGAAGCCACGGGAACAAAGCGGAGGCCGAAAGGGGCCUGGUCCAGGGCGCCUGCCCUGAGGACUAGGGCGCCCGCCCCCUCCUGGAUUCCAACCAGAACUCUUUUCGCGGACGACGCUCCACCGACCUAAAUGAUCAAGGAUAAUCGUCCAAUCAAUAUCGAUUUGAUCCAAUGGCUCACGUUCACUUGAGGGGACUAUAAAUCCAGACCCCCUGGCCCCUGGAGGAGACAAGUUCAUCAUAGAGUUGAGAGGAGCCCUCGAAGGAAUCCCUCUCCUCUAAAUAAAAUUUCUUUUGGCGUACCAUCCAAUGUGAGUAGAAACAGAUCUUCUAGUUUCUACUAGAUUGAGAGAGAUAGAGUGGAGGUGUAGAUCGGAGGAAGCCCGGCCUGUCGGUGUCUACUCUGAGGUUGUACCUGUGGGAUCAAGUUGUUGGGUAUUCUUAACAUCAUUACUAAAAGUAGACUAAGUUCUAAAUCUAGCAACGGUGCCAAAAAUGCCAAACCUAUCCCUCACACCACUUAAGCCAAGUUGUCAUCCCCAGCAUGAUAUAAGAGACGCGGUAUUGAAAUAUGCAAUUACUCUUCUAAAUAAAUAAUGAAUUGGAUCUGCAAGCGCACAGAUUAAUACCGAUGCAGCAUUUUAACCGGGAAGUAUUCCAGGUAUCGUUAUUUAUAUUUUUACCACUGGGAAGGGAUUAGCAAUCAUCACUAAUGAUUACAGAAUAGAAUAUGAGAUUGAGCAUCUAUCAUUGCAUGUAUAAUUGAGAACAUUAUAUCUAACUCUUCAUACAGGGAUAAGUGUCACAUAAAAGAUAUAUGAAAUAAUAAUAGUGACAAGGAUAACUAAUCUGAUCUAACCACAUAAUAAAUAUGAUAAGCACCUCAAUUAGAUACUCUAGAAAGUCAUUAGCAUGGUAUUAGAACGAACUACAAGAAUAUUCCCUAAGUUAUUCUCAACUAUAUAGUCUAGCAUAUCAUAGUUAGUGCAAGCAUACUUAGCAAUCAUUGCGAGACAAGACUACGCCCAUGCAUAGUGAUAUUAGCACGGAAUAUGAGAAACAUAGCAAUCACUCCCCUGUAAUAAUGUUGCUCUGCCAGCCCAAUACACGAGAGGGGGACUAUAUAAGAAUCAAUGAAGCUGUCACUAUCACGAACCACCCCACGAUCUGGCAUAUUGGGUACAAUCGCAGAUAAAUACGGUAUAAGCACCACGCCUACACAAUAUCUAUCAUUUACCCAUGGAUCCGAUGGAUAAACGCUAUACGAUCCUAAGCAUGUAUAUAGAUCCAAUCUAACUAAGCCAAGUACAUAACUAUGAUAAACUAAGAACAAUAUAAUCUUCAAUAUAAGCAAGUAGAGCAAAGUCAUAAGCAAUAUAUUGAAGUAGAACAAAGUCAUAUCCAUAAUAUUGAAGAACAAAGAUAAUUAGAAAGCAAUUAGAAGCACAAUUAGAGAAUUACCAAGAAUCCUCCUGACAGAUCCGGAAACCAAUCGAAGAUUGACUCCUUCUAGUUCUAAUCCUAUGUAGCUAUGCUAAUCUAGAUAUCUAAUUGAUUUGGUGGCUCUAAUCUUGAUCAGAGGCUUCUUCUCCCUUGAUGGAACAAUGAAUUAGGGUUGAGAGGCUCUCUCCUCCAGGGGCCAGGGGGUCUGGUUUUAUAGUCCCUUCAAGUGAAUAUGGGCCCUUGGAUCAAACCGACAUAGAUUGUAUGGUUUAGAUUCAUCCUUUAGGUCGGUGGAGAUCUCCCGCAAAGCAGAGUCCUGAUUGGACUCAGGAGGUGGGCGGGCGCCCUGACCAACUGGGCGGCCGCCCAGGGUCUGGCCCCGUUUCGCCUCCGCUUCGGUCUCGUGGCUUCUGGAGUCUUCUAGAUGUAAGAUAAUUGCGCAGCACGUUAAUAUCUUUACGUAAUCCCGACAUGUGGGCCUUUCUUCCGUAUUUCCUGAUAACCCCCUGCAGAAAUAGACAAACACCAAAACUCGUGGAAUUCUGUCAAAUAAAACCCUAAGUCUGGAUCUUGAUUUCAUUUGGAUCCUUUUCUUUAUUUAUUUGAUAAUUAAAUUUGAUACUUAAGGACCGUCAACAAACUCCCCCAAGCUUACCUCUUGCUCGUCCCUGAGCAAGGAUAGACUCAGCUAUGGAUCAUAAGUUGUUGCAAUAUUUAAAAAUUUGACGGUACACAUGCUUUUAAAUAAGAUCUCAUCUCUGAGUUAGAGUAAACUGUCAAGACUUAAAAAUUACUUACUUUACCUUCACCAUGGGACUUGUAACUGUCACUUCUGUCUUGAGUGGUUAAAAGAUAGAACAGUCUAGCCAAGUGCCAUGUCUCUUAUUCUUGAUCAGCUAUAACUCUGGGGUUUUUUGCAGAUUUUCAAAUAAAACUCAGACAUUCCUUGUAUGAUUCUCUCAGGUCUCUCUUUUGUGGUACUUUUGGAUCCUUACCAAGGCAUUGAUGGUAUAUGCCUUCUCUCAAGAUAUGUAGUAUUUGUGGUAUAAGGCAUAGUGACAUUGCCUUCUCUCUCACCCUACUCUAAUAAGGCUUAAUAUCUGGAGCUCAUAGGUGGGAGAUAAAAUAUACAUACUUACAAGACAUUUAUUGCAUAGUCAAACCAUGGAUCCAAAGAAACAAAUCAAUAAGCCAAAUCAAGAUGUGCAUGUGUGGCGAAUGAAUGGUGUAUGGUGAUGAUGGUGAUAACAAUGGUGAAAACAAUGGUGGUGGAAGUCUAAUUGUACUUUGCUCUUUUGAGGGGAUACAUACCUUCCUUGCUUUUGAAACUUUAUGAGGAGAAUGAGAUGCUCUUCUUUUUCUUUUCUCUCAGGUGGGUAUCUUGCACCCCUAAUUCUACUGUCGGACACUUGUCCAUUUUUACCUCUCGUCUCACUCUUUCUUUUCUUUCGAGGUUCCGAGCACUUGCUCCUUUUUAUUUCCUCGUAUAUUUUUUUUAUUUUCUUCUCUUUUUUUUAGAGCACUCAUCUCUUGAGAUAAUAUAGCAAGUGGUAGUAACAAGAUAACUUGAGCAUUUAUUUCACAAGGGGAAACAGAAAUAUUUUUGGUUAUUCUCUCCCGGAUUAGGAGCAGAAUAUUUUUGGGUGAUUCUGGAGAUGGAAAUGGAUGGAUAUAUGUGGAUGGUACUUCUAGAGUAGAAGUAGCAUAUAUGAGUGAACGUGCAAGUGAAAUCUUGAUUUAACCACAUGACAAGCUCCUAAGGGUCUACACAGCUUGACCACACUCAAUGCUCAUAAGCAGUAAAUAAUAAAUGUGUGGCUCAAAGUCUAGCAAGCAUGUAUAUAUGGCUGUGGUAGGAAUUUAAGCUCUCAUCAUACAGGAACUCAUCAUGCAACAUUUUAAAGAUUUUCAAAGAUAAAAUUCUCGAGAAUUCUAGCAUCUCUAGGAACAGAUAAACAGCAGCUCAACCUUCCCAUAUCGUAUCCGUUAACAACUUAGACUUCAGAUCAAGUUUUCAUCCCACAAGUUUAGGUCUAGGGCAAGCUUUAAAUUAUAACAGUUACAUCUAAACUUGAGAGAGAACUUAAAAUUUGCAAAUUAGACAGAGCAACUAUUUAUCAUAUCCAUGCUUAAGUUUUAUUUAGAUACAGAUUAGCAUAGCCACUUAAACACACUAAGCAAAAGACAUAUAUCAGCAUAAAAUCUUUAUUUGGUUUUCCCAUAGUUUAUGAGUAUUUUAAUAUUCUAAAAUAAUAUAAGUAUAAAGAUAGAUAGAUAUACUUAUCGGGAUAAAUGGGGGUGCUCUCCCCCAAGCUGAAUUUUGACGUAAUUUCUCUUGAUGUAGCUACCAGGUGGCAGAGGUGUAUUUGAAAGUCAGCAGCAUUCUGACAGCGAUUAGAAUGUCCUCCGUCUGCUAGUCUUCUUGAUUCUUAAAUUCCGUGGAGCUCAAAUAGACAACAAAGCUUGUGGAACUGAUUAAGUGUUAGCAUAAAUAUCUAGCCUUUAUUAUCUUGAGACUCCUUAAUAAUUGUUACUCCCUGUUUUUAUAUUUUUGUUUUUAUAAAGCAGAAAAAAUAUUUAUUUUAUUUUUAUGCCACCACAGUGAAUGUACUUAUGGGUUUUAUGCCACUCGUCUACUCACAUGGGGCUUACAGUUUUUUUUUAUUUUCUUUUUAGGAUAGCACGAACAUAAUUAACUAAGUAAACUAUUUGAAAUAAUUAAAAGGGAAAGGAUAACUACCAAGUUUACCUCUUGGCAGGGCGUUCGGUGUUUUUAAGUCCUCCGAACGGGACUCUCCAACUUCUUAAUCGUCCUAAGGUUCGUUGGGUGGCGUAGUCGGUACUUCCGGCAGUGCCUCCUCUUCUUGUAUAGUUAUCUUCAUUUUCCAUACCUGACUCGGUGCUACGGUCUCCUUUGGAUAAUUCUGUUUAAACUCCACGUCUUCUGACCUUGCAACUUCUCCUUCAUAGUCUGCCCAUCCGUCCUUGAUGAUCUGCCUCCUCUUGUUGCGGUUGCGUCUCUUUCUGACCUGCUUAGAUUCUUCAAUGAUAUAGUUAGGGUCAGUAAAAUAACGGCGUACCUUCUCUGAGGGGAAGUGCAUAUGGACUUCUCUGGUUCCAAUGUAGAUAAUUGCUUUAACGGUGCUGAGGAACGGUCUUCCAAGGAUGAUGGGUGGAUCGUACUCGUCUUCUCCCAUGUCAACAACUUGAAAGUCUGUGUAGACAAAGUGAUCGUCUAUUUUGACUGGGACAUCAGAUACUAUUCCUUUAACUUCUCGAAAUGACUGAUCUGCCAUCUGGAGCUGAAUGUAUGUUGGUCUUAGUGGCAUGGUCCCGAACAAGAGCCGAUAGGUGACUGCGGCCAUUAUGUUGACGCCCGAUCCGGUGUCGCAAAUUGUCUUGUAGAAGUUGUAUCCAUUUAUGGAGCAGUAAAUGCUUGGCAUUCCUGGGUCGUCCUUCUUGGUCAGAAACGGUGACUUAAGUUGGUGAUCUUGGCCUCCAUGGACUACAGUGACCAUCUUAGCUGACUCGGUCCACACUUGCUUGUUCCUGUUCCUCCUAUUGGUCCUCUUCCUUGAUUCACGUCUGGAUUGAUCUUGAAUUUGUGUAGUGUUGUUCUUGAAGAAAAAUGUCUCCUUCUUCCCUUUGACGUAGAAACUGAUCUUGGAAGCACUAGCGUAGAUGAUAGCUCCCGUGGUGUUCAAAAAUGGCCUUCAUAGGAUGAUAGGUGCUCUCUCAUCAUUUCCGGUCUCUACCACUACGAAGUCUGCUGGGGCAUACAAGGUACCAACUCGGACACAAAGGUUCCUCACUAUUCCUUUUGGAAAAGUUAUCGUCUGAUCUGCAAACUGCAAACACAUGGUUGUUUCUAAUAAAGGAUAUGUAAAGAAUUUCUCAUAGAGUACCCUGGGUAUAAUGUUGACGCUAGAGCCA